rnacentral:tRNA from 1 species
GGAGAGGUGACCGAGCUGGCUGAAGGUACACGCCUGCUAAGCGUGCGUACGGUAACACGUACCGUGGGUUCGAAUCCCACCCUCUCCG